GCCCCUGUCGCUUGCCCAAGG
rnacentral:miRNA from 1 species